rnacentral:sRNA from 1 species
GCAGGAAAGUGUUCAAAGAUCUACUAGAAGGCAAAGUCCAGUUUGCCUAAUAUGUAUACGAUGGGACAGAGUCAAAAACAUUUGUCUGGUGUGUAUACGAUGGGGCUGAAUGUAAGACCAAUACAUUUCAAACCAAGAGAAAAUAAACAAAUAUUGAAGUAAUAUG